UGAAUACGAGACGCUAAGGCGUCGAAGUAGUGUAUCAGACUUCCAAGAAAAGCUUGCACUGUCAUAGAUAAAAAAUGCCUGUACCAUAACCGACACAGGUGGGUAGGUAGAGUAUACUAAGGGGCGCGAGAUAACUCUCUCUAAGGAACUCGGCAAAAUAACUCCGUAACUUCGGGAGAAGGGGUGCCUUAUUUAUAAGGUUGCAAUAACAAGAUCCAAGCAACUGUUUAUCAAAAACACAGGUCUCCGCUAAGUCGUAAGACGAUGUAUGGGGGCUGACGCCUGCCCAGUGCCAGAAGGUUAAAGAAGUUGGUUAGCAAUUGCGAAGCUGAUAACUGAAGCCCUGGUGAACGGCGGCCGUAACAAUAACGGUCCUAAGGUAGCGAAAUUCCUUGUCGGGUAAGUUCCGACCCGCACGAAAGGCGUAAUGAUUUGGAUACUGUCUCGGAGAGGGGCUCGGUGAAAUAGACUUGUCUGUGAAGAUGCGGACUACCUGCACCAGGACAGAAAGACCCUAUGAAGCUUUACUGUAACUUGAAAUUGAAAUUGGACUUUAUUCGCGCAGCAUAGGUGGGAGGCGUUGAUUAUAAUCUUGCGGGAUUAUUGGAGCCAUCAGUGAGAUACCACUCUUGUAAUGUUAGAUUUCUAACUUUGAAUCAUUAUCUGGUCAAAGAACAGUUUCAGGCGGGCAGUUUGACUGGGGCGGUCGCCUCCUAAAUGGUAACGGAGGCGUACAAAGGUUUCCUCUGAACGGUUAGAAAUCGUAUCUAGAGUGUAAAGGCAUAAGGAAGCUUGACUGUGAGACCUACAAGUCGAGCAGGGACGAAAGUCGGUCUUAGUGAUCUGACGGUACUGAGUGGAAAGGCCGUCACUCAACGGAUAAAAGUUACUCUAGGAUAACAGGCUGAUCUCCCCCAAGAGUUCACAUCGACGGGGAGGUUUGGCACCUCGAUGUCGGCUCAUCGCAUCCUGGGGCGGUAGUACGUCCCAAGGGUUGGGCUGUUCGCCCAUGAAAGCGGUACGCGAGCUGGGUUCAGAACGUCGUGAGACAGUUCGGUCCAUAUCCGGUGUAGGCGUUAGAAUAUUGAGAGGAGCCUUCUUUAGUACGAGAGGACCGAGAAGGACAUACCUCUGGUGUACCAGUUAUCGUGCCAACGGUAAACGCUGGGUAGCUAUGUAUGGAGUGGAUAACCGCUGAAAGCAUCUAAGUGGGAAGCCCACCUCAAGAUAAGUAUUCUAC
rnacentral:rRNA from 1 species